GACCAAUAUUUCAGAUUCAACUUCCUUUUUAGCCCUGGAAGAAUAUUUUGUCUUUCUUUCAGAUUUAGACAUGAUUUUAAUGGCUUCGCGUUCCUUCUUAUUACGUCUCAGCCGUUUCCUUCUUAAUGACUCUAAACUUCGAGAGGCUCGACGCUUGCUUCUACGUGAAUAUCUUCAAGAAUAUCUUGUUGUCGAGAUGAACAGCCAACCACGCUAUCUGCUUUGCCUUCGGAUUACCGCUUUUGGAAUAGCCUACCGUCAGCAAGCGGUG